AAUGAACGCUGGCGGGCGUGCCUAAUACAUGCAAGUCGAGCGAAUGGAUUAAGAGCUUGCUCUUAUGAAGUUAGCGGCGGACGGGUGAGUAACACGUGGGUAACCUGCCCAUAAGACUGGGAUAACUCCGGGAAACCGGGGCUAAUACCGGAUAACAUUUUGAACCGCAUGGUUCGAAAUUGAAAGGCGGCUUCGGCUGUCACUUAUGGAUGGACCCGCGUCGCAUUAGCUAGUUGG
rnacentral:rRNA from 1 species